rnacentral:rRNA from 1 species
AGUCUGCAACUCGACUACAUGAAGCUGGAAUCGCUAGUAAUCGCGAAUCAGAAUGUCGCGGUGAAUACGUUCCCGGGUCUUGUACACACCGCCCGUCACACCAUGGGAGUUAGGAAUGCCCGAAGCCGGUGACCUAACCGAAAGGGAGGAGCCGUCGAAGGCAGGCUUGAUAACUGGGGUGAAGUCGUAACAAGGUAUC